rnacentral:lncRNA from 1 species
AAAAUUAUGGGAAUUUUCUUUAUUAAGCUGAGAACAACCCAUGCUUUGCAAAUUUGAGGGUGCAAGCCCGCAACCCUCCCCCGUCUGAAUCCGCCCUGCAUAUAUUCAAGUAUAGGACAAUAUAAUAAAUAAAAAAUGAAAUAUAGGGGAGUCCCUGGAGUUACCCCACCCCUUCCUGUUUGAGAACUUGGAAACGGUCGAGAUCCACACCCCUUAACCAUAUAAUAUUCAUGUUUGUGACAAUAUGAAAAAUCAAAUGAAAUAUAGGAAGAGUCGCUAGGGGUCACCCCACCCCUCCUGUUUUAGAAUUUAAAAAUGGUUGAGAUCCCCAUCCCUAAACCAUAUAUAUUUCAUGUAUGGGACAAUAUAACAAAUCAGAUGAAAGAUAGGGGAGUCCCUGAGGUCACUGUUCACCCUCCUGUUUGAGAACUUGGAAAUGGUCAAGAUCCUUACCCCUAAACCAUAUAUACUCGUGUAUGGGACAAUAUAACAAAUCAAAUGAAAUAUAAGGGAAGUCCCUGUGGUCAUCCCAACCCUCCUGUUUGAGAACUUGGAAACGGUCGAGAUCCCCACACCAAAACAAUAUAUUCAUGUAUGGAUCAAUAUAACUAAUUAAAUGAAAUAUAGGGGAGUCCCUUGGGUCACCCUACCCUUCCUGUUUGAGAACUUGGAAACCAAUGAGAUCCCCUACCCUAAACCAUAUAUAUUCAUGUAUGGGACAAUAUAACAAAUAAAAUGAAAUGUAGGGGAAGUCCCUAGGGUCACCUUACCCCAGUGGCGGAUCCAGAAAUUUUCAUAAGUGGGGCCCACUGACUGACCUUAGAGGGGCCCGCUCCAGUGAUUCCCUAUAUAAGCAACCAAAUUUUUUCUCAAAAAGGGGGGGGCCGGACCCCCUGCCCCCUAAAUCCUCUGCCUACCCCCACCUGUUUGAGAACUUGAAAACCGUUGAGAUCCCCACCCCUAAAUUAUAUAUAUUCAUAUGUAUGGGACAAAAUAACAAAUCGUUUACAUUUACUAUGGGCAAGUCAGUCAGACCUCAUCUUUGAUCCCUGUUGUAGUGAACAUUUGUCUGAUUCGUGUCUCAUAACUUUUGUACUAUAGAACACAAACUCAGUUUUCUUUCCAGGGAAACCAGUCCAUUCAUACUAUAACAUAUUCAUACUACGUCAAAUUGAACUUCUAGCAGUCAAAUAAAACCAAGGUUAACUACCAAGUAGAACAACUGCAAUCAUUGGGAACUUGUACCACUGCAGACUCACCAUAAAAAUAUACAUUGAUAUAUGCAUUGCUUUUGAAACCUUGAUAACAUAUAAAUUAUUUGCCUUAAUAAAUAAAUCAUUAGAUAAACAUGAAUGUACUAUAUAUGAAUGUUUAAUGUUGAGGCAACAUUGCCACAGUUUUCAUAAUUACGGUUGCCUUGGUUUUUGGUUAACUGCCUUCAGCGCUUACAGCGCUUUGAUUUUGUUAUCG